AACGACUCUCGGCAACGGAUAUCUCGNCUCUCGCAUCGAUGAAGAACGCAGCAAAAUGCGAUACUUGGUGUGAAUUGCAGAAUCCCGUGAAUCAUCGAGUUUUUGAACGCAAGUUGCGCCCGAAGCCUUCCGGCCAAGGGCACGUCUGCCUGGGUGUCANGC
rnacentral:rRNA from 1 species